UACGGGGGGAGCAAGCGUUGUUCGGAUUUACUGGGCGUAAAGGGCGCGUAGGCGGCCACCGCAAGUCGACUGUGAAAUCUCCGGGCUUAACCCGGAAAGGUCAGCCGAUACUGCGGGGCUAGAGUGCAGAAGGGGCAACUGGAAUUCUCGGUGUAGCGGUGAAAUGCGUAGAUAUGACAUAGAACACCAAUUGCGAAGGCAGCUUACUACACAAUGAUUGACGCUGAGGCACGAAAGCGUGGGGAUCAAACAGG
rnacentral:rRNA from 1 species